CCGGAUGAUCUCAGAGGUCUUUUCUAACCUUAUUGAUUCUAUGCUAUGCUAUGCUGUUCUAUUCUACCUACCCUGAACUAUGUUUUCUGAGCUUAGAGCUGAUUCCUGCUUUGGGCAGGGACUGGACUGGAGAGCUUCUGACAUCCCUUGCAACCUGAAUUAUCCUGUGAUCUUACGAUUUUAUAAUUGGCAUUAGUUCAAUGGGACUCUGAUAAUGAGUAUUGAACUGCACAGUGAUAGGAGUAGCAAACUGCACAAAGAACCAGGAAGGAGUUAAUGGUUGAGAUGAAGACCCAGCUUGAUCCUGUCCUAACAUGCAACACCUGCUAGUUGUGGGGAAGCAUUUUAGCCAGAGGUGUGGGGGAAGAGAGAAGGUCUGUCUGAUUAAGGAAGCCAAAUAAUGAGGGACUGAGUGCAGGCACAGAGCGGAUUGCAUGACUGAAUCCAAUGGCAGAGCACGGUAAGAGAGAGUGGUUGUUUGGAGAACACAAACAAACCAGAGCUGGAGGAUAAGACAACUCGCAUCAAAGCAAGGAUGGUACAACUCCAGUCUUAACGUAGCAGAAGACAAAGGAGGGGGCACUCACCGCUCUCGCAUGUCACUCCCCUCCAGCCGACAUCACAUUCACAGGAGCCGUCCCCAUCGAUCCCGCUGCUGCAUUUCCCAUGGACACAUGCACACACUGUGGGGAGAGAUGGGAGGGAGCCAGUGUUUAGAAUGCAUCGAAAUUCAGAAUUUGCUUAUUUUUCCUCUGUUCCCAAAUACAGGGACUGAAACUGUGUUUUAAUGGGAAACAUUGGUGAAAAAGCUGUAUUAAAGAAGAUAAUUCAUGCUGGAUGCCACUCUAAGCCCACAAAGAGCCAGUGUAGGAGGCACUGUCUCUAAGGAAGGUCUUCUCUAUCAAGAAAACAGUGAGAAAAUGCCAUAACAGGGAAAGAAAAGGAGUUAGUGAUAUUUCUAGGACUGGCCUACUAUCUUGAAAGCAACCUAGGUUUCCAGGAUCUAGAAUGAACGCAGCUAGAAGGACUCAGGAGGUUUCACCUUCCCCUUGGAGACCUAACAUGGGACUUCCCCCGAUGUAGGAAAGCUGGCCACGUAGGUCGCAAACCACAGUGACUUCCUUUUGCAUCCUGCAGGCCUCAUCAUUUCCCUUCAAUCCCCAUCACCCCUUUUGCACCCUCCUCACGAGCAUGGUGCGGGGGCGCUCGGUACCUUGAUCGCAGUUGCGGCCGUACUUGCCCUCGGCGCAGCUCUCGCAGGCCGUGCCAACAAACCCCGCUCCACACUGGCAGGUGCCGGUGCCGUUGAUGCCGUCCAUACAGACGCCGUUGCCGAAGCAGGCGCUCCCGGCCUUCCCGGGGCAGGGCUGGCACUGCGGCCCGAAGAAGCCAGCGCAGCACUCCCUGGUCUGCAGGCAGAGAAAUGCCGUGCUGAGGGGCAGCAUCAGGGAAGAGGGGACCCCGGCCCCUCCAGGCAUGGCUGUAUGCAUGUGGCCGCUGGGCAUCGUCUCUCGGGACUGCUGCUGGGUGGAGGGAGCUGUAGGUGGGGAUUUUUGGCAGUGCUUGAGCUCUGCUGUCUGUGGCCUUGCUCCUUACAUUGCCAGGGAUCAGGCUGCCAUCCCAAGUCCUUGCUGGGAUGUGGGUGUCCUCUGCCACCCCAGGGAAAGGUGGAAGAAUUGCUAGGGAUAAACAUGGUAAUACCCUUCCCAAACUCCACCUGCAUCCCACCCCUGCUCCAGCCAUCAGCAGCCUUUAGCCUUCUGAUCUCUGCUGUGUUGAGUCCCCAGACGAACACAAGACCUUUGUGUACAGCCAUUAGGGACCACCUGGACGUGCUGUGUGUGUGUUGAGGCAGUUAUGAGGAGGGUGAAGUUUUAAUGGGAAACAUUGGUGAAAAACCUGUGACAGGAAUAGUGUACUCACAAUGAUGGUUUUAGCACACUUUGGCUGGCAUCCGAUCUGGAUGGUGUACAUCCUCAUGUUGCUUUCCGAGAAGACACAGUAUUUCUUCUGCCCUGCCUGGGUGAAGAUUGGAGAAACAGCUGCACUUCUGUGUAAUAUUGAUCAGCUACUUUCAAAUGUUUUAAAAAAAUUGACAUUAUGUAUGCUGUGUGCUGACUCAUACAUUUGCAAUGAAAGCUAAGGAAAUACUUGCAGCAAUAAAAAUGAGUAAGCUAAAAUGA